GGAUCAGCCCAGGUAAGGGCCAUAACAUCUGCCUUACAUGCAAAAGAGCCCAGGUUCAAUCCCUGGUGUCUCCA